rnacentral:rRNA from 1 species
GAGGAAUAUUGCGCAAUGGGGGCAACCCUGACGCAGCGACGCCGCGUGAGUGAGGAAGGCCUUCGGGUCGUAAAGCUCUGUCAAGAGGAAAGAAGUGCAUAGCGGUUAAUACCCGUUGUGUUUGACGGUACCUCUAAAGGAAGCACCGGCUAACUCCGUGCCAGCAGCCGCGGUAAUACGGAGGGUGCAAGCGUUGUUCGGAAUCACUGGGCGUAAAGGGCGCGUAGGCGGUUUGAUAAGUCAGAUGUGAAAGCCCAUGGCUUAACUGUGGAAGUGCAUUUGAAACUGUCAGACUUGAGUACCAGAGGGGAAAGUGGAAUUCCCAGUGUAGAGGUGAAAUUCGUAGAUAUCGGGAGGAAUACCGGUGACGAAGGCGACUUUCUGGCUGGAUACUGACGCUGAGGCGCGAAAGCGUGGGGAGCAAACA